GUUGCGGUGGCCGAGUGGUUAAGGCGUUGGACUGAAAUCCAAUGGGAUCUUCCCGCGCAGGUUCGAACCCUGCCCGCAACA
rnacentral:tRNA from 2 species